UCUUUGGUAGUAUAUUGGUUAGUACAAGUGCCCGUUACGUGAUUGAAUAUGGUGUUAUCGCGCGCAAGCUGGGUUCGAUUCCCAGCCAGAGUG